UUCCUCUCAGGGUCUCACCUGGAGAGGUUCCAGUACUCUGCCAGUUUCGGCUACAGGAGGGAAAGUCAAGUAGAGGUCUACCCAUUCCAUUCCUAGCUUGGGGAGCGGCUAGCGAGUGGAAGGUAAUCUUCUACAAGU